rnacentral:rRNA from 1 species
GGUAGUGUAGUUAAUAGCUGCAUUAUUUGACGUUAGCGACAGAAGAAGCACCGGCUAACUCCGUGCCAGCAGCCGCGGUAAUACGGAGGGUGCGAGCGUUAAUCGGAAUUACUGGGCGUAAAGCGCAUGCAGGUGGUUUGUUAAGUCAGAUGUGAAAGCCCGGGGCUCAACCUCGGAAUUGCAUUUGAAACUGGCAGACUAGAGUACUGUAGAGGGGGGUAGAAUUUCAGGUGUAGCGGUGAAAUGCGUAGAGAUCUGAAGGAAUACCGGUGGCGAAGGCGGCCCCCUGGACAGAUACUGACACUCAGAUGCGAAAGCGUGGGGAGCAAACAGGAUUAGAUACCCUGGUAGUCCACGCCGUAAACGAUGUCUACUUGGAGGUUGUGGCCUUGAGCCGUGGCUUUCGGAGCUAACGCGUUAAGUAGACCGCCUGGGGAGUACGGUCGCAAGAUUAAAACUCAAAUGAAUUGACGGGGGCCCGCACAAGCGGUGGAGCAUGUGGUUUAAUUCGAUGCAACGCGAAGAACCUUACCUACUCUUGACAUCCAGAGAACUUUCCAGAGAUGGAUUGGUGCCUUCGGGAACUCUGAGACAGGUGCUGCAUGGCUGUCGUCAGCUCGUGUUGUGAAAUGUUGGGUUAAGUCCCGCAACGAGCGCAACCCUUAUCCUUGUUUGCCAGCGAGUAAUGUCGGGAACUCCAGGGAGACUGCCGGUGAUAAACCGGAGGAAGGUGGGGACGACGUCAAGUCAUCAUGGCCCUUACGAGUAGGGCUACACACGUGCUACAAUGGCGCAUACAGAGGGCAGCCAACUUGCGAAAGUGAGCGAAUCCCAAAAAGUGCGUCGUAGUCCGGAUUGGAGUCUGCAACUCGACUCCAUGAAGUCGGAAUCGCUAGUAAUCGUGGAUCAGAAUGCCACGGUGAAUACGUUCCCGGGCCUUGUACACACCGCCCGUCACACCAUGGGAGUGGGCUGCAAAAGAAGUAGGUAGUUUAACCUUCGGGGGGACGCUUACCACUUUGUGGUUCAUGACUGGGGUGAAGUCGUAACAAGGUAGCGCUAGGGGAACCUGGCGCUGGAUCACCUCCUUA